ACCCAGACUCCUACGGGAGGCAGCAGUGGGGAAUAUUGCACAAUGGGGGGAACCCUGAUGCAGCGACGCCGCGUGGGUGAAGGAGCACCUCGGUGCGUAAAGCCCUAUCGGCAGGGAAGAAAAGCGAACAGGUUCGCCUGGACGGUACCUGACUAAGAAGCCCCGGCUAACUACGUGCCAGCAGCCGCGGUAAUACGUAGGGGGCAAGCGUUAUCCGGAUUCACUGGGUGUAAAGGGAGCGUAGGCGGCGCUUCAGGUCAGCGGUGAAAUACCGGGGCUCAACCCCGGGGCUGCCGUUGAAAUCGGAGCGCUAGAAUUCCGAUGCCGUCGGAGGAAUGUGUGGUGUAGCGGUGAAAUGCAUAGAUAUCACACAGAACACCGAUUGCGAAGGCAUCUGACGAAUCGGAGAUUGACGCUGAUGCACGAAAGCGUGGGUAUCGAACAGGAUUAGAUACCCCAGUA
rnacentral:rRNA from 1 species